rnacentral:rRNA from 1 species
AUUGAACGCUGGCGGCAGGCCUAACACAUGCAAGUCGAGCGGUAGAGAGAAGCUUGCUUCUCUUGAGAGCGGCGGACGGGUGAGUAAUGCCUAGGAAUCUGCCUGGUAGUGGGGGAUAACGUUCGGAAACGGACGCUAAUACCGCAUACGUCCUACGGGAGGAAGCAGGGGACCUUCGGGCCUUGCGCUAUCAGAUGAGCCUAGGUCGGAUUAGCUAGUUGGUGAGGUAAUGGCUCACCAAGGCGACGAUCCGUAACUGGUCUGAGAGGAUGAUCAGUCACACUGGAACUGAGACACGGUCCAGACUCCUACGGGAGGCAGCAGUGGGGAAUAUUGGACAAUGGGCGAAAGCCUGAUCCAGCCAUGCCGCGUGUGUGAAGAAGGUCUUCGGAUUGUAAAGCACUUUAAGUUGGGAGGAAGGGCAGUUACCUAAUACGUGAUUGUUUUGACGUUACCGACAGAAUAAGCACCGGCUAACUCUGUGCCAGCAGCCGCGGUAAUACAGAGGGUGCAAGCGUUAAUCGGAAUUACUGGGCGUAAAGCGCCCGUAGGUGGUUAGUUAAGUUGGAUGUGAAAUCCCCGGGCUCCACCUGGGAAAUUCAUUCAAAAUGACUGACUAAAGUAUGGGAAAAGGUGGUGGAAUUUCCUGGGGACGGGGAAAAGCGAAAAUAAUUAAGGGAAACCAGCUGGCGAAAGGACCCCCUGGACUCUAAUGAA